rnacentral:rRNA from 1 species
AUUGAACGCUGGCGGCAGGCCUAGCACAUGCAAGUCGAGCGAGCGGCGGACGGGUGAGUAAUGUAUGGGGACUGCCCGAUAGAGGGGGAUAACUACUCGAAACGGUGGCCAAUACCGCAUACUGUUGGAUAACCCAUAUGGGAUUAGCUAGUAGGUAAGGUAAUGGCUUACCUAGGCGACGAUCCCUAACUGGUCUGAGAGGAUGAUCAGGCACACUGGGACUGAGACACGGCCCAGACUCCUACGGAGGCAGCAGUGGGGAAUAUUGCACAAUGGGCGCAAGCCUGAUGCAGCCAUGCCGCGUGUAUGAAGAAGGCCCUAGGAUUGUAAAGUACUUUAAGUCGGGAGGCGUUACCGACAGAAGAAGCACCGGCUAACUCCGUGCCAGCAGCCGCGGUAAUAC